rnacentral:rRNA from 1 species
GACAGAGGGUGCAAACGUUGCUCGGAAUUACUGGGCGUAAAGCGCGUGUAGGUGGUUCCGCGAGUCAGGUGUGAAAUCCCUCGGCUUAACCGAGGAACUGCCCUGCAAACUGCUUGGCUUGAGUCCGGGAGAGGUGAGUGGAAUUCCCAGUGUAGCGGUGAAAUGCGUAGAUAUUGGGAGGAACACCAGUGGCGAAGGCGACUCACUGGACCGGAACUGACGCUGAGGCGCGAAAGCGUGGGGAGCAAACGGG